UAAUACACUGGGUCUUAGCAGAUUGCAAGAUUCGAGUGUUUGAUCUGUGUGUGGAGCCUUUCCACAGUUUUUGGAGGGUCGUUGAUAGUGUUCCGACCCCUGGCACGCACCCCGAGGGUGUUGGUUUGAGUCUUGGCACCAAGAUCCCAAAAUUGGAAUUUUUGGUCAGCCCUCGGAUAGCCUGCAGCAGGGCUUGUACCGGAACAAGAAUGGUCUUGUACCGGUACAAGGGUUGAUGGUUGUACCGGUACAGCCAUCGGGCUUGUACCGGUACAGAGCCGCAGACCGAGCAACCCGAGCUUCGGGUUUGCAUUUUCGUCGGCCUUGUACCGGUNUGUAUUUACUUUAUGUUUCAUUUAGUGGAUUUAUAGUAUUAUCCUUAUCCCUUGUUGUAGCAUGUAGACAUUUAUUAUGCUCUGAUACUCCUAGAUGUCUUUUAUUAUUGCUUUUAUUAUUGUUGUUUUUAGACGCCUUAUAUGUUGAAGACAUAUGGCGGGU
rnacentral:lncRNA from 1 species